GACGAACGCUGGCGGCGUGCUUAACACAUGCAAGUCGAACGGAAAGGCCCUGCUUUUGGGGGGUGCUCGAGUGGCGAACGGGUGAGUAACACGUGGGUAACCUGCCCUUGACUUUGGGAUAACUUCAUGAAACUGGGGCUAAUACCGGCUAGGAGCUCCUGCUUCAUGGUGGGGGUUGGAAAGUUUCGGCGGUUGGGGAUGGAAUCGCGGCUUAUCAGCUUGUUGGUGGGGUAGUGGCUUAGCAAGGCUAGGACGCGUAGCCGGGCUGAGCGGGUGAGCUGACACACCGGGAUUGAGAUACGGCACAGACCAGUCCGGGAGGGAGGAGAGGAGAAGAGUGCAUUAUGGGCUGAACGAUGAUCCAGCACAGCCGUGCGCGGGAUGACGGGCAGCCCGUUGUAUAGUGAUUCCGUCUGUGACGAAGCGUUAGUGACGGUACCGGGUAAAGAAGCACCGGCUAACUACGUG
rnacentral:rRNA from 1 species